rnacentral:rRNA from 1 species
GACGAACGCUGGCGGCGCGCUUAACACAUGCAAGUCGAACGGAAAGGCCUGCUUUCCCUUGUGGAUUGCGGGUACUCGAGUGGCGAACGGGUGAGUAACACGUGAGUGAUCUGCCCCCAACUUGGGUAUAAGCCUGGGAAACUGGGUCUAAUUCCCGAUAGGACUGCAGGGUGGUGCCUGUGGUGGAAAACGAUUUUCUAGUGGUUGGGGAUGAGCUCGCGGCCUAUCAGCUUGUUGGUGGGGUAAUGGCCUACCAAGGCGGCGACGGGUAGCCGGCCUGAGAGGGUGGACGGCCACAUUGGGACUGAGAUACGGCCCCGACUCCUACGGGAGGCAGCAGUGGGGAAUAUUACACAAUGGGCGGAAGCCUGAUGCAGCGACGCCGCGUGGGGGAUGACGGCCUUCGGGUUGUAAACUCCUUUCGACCGCGAGGAAGCCACCUGGUUGGAAGGGUGGUGACGGUAGUGGUAGAAGAAGCACCGGCUAACUACGUG